GGGUAUUUGUCUUUCCAUUUACAGUUCUCUUGCUGCCCCCCCCCCCUCUGUAGAGAGCUGAUAUCGAUUUUUAGUGUUUCAUGUUUUAUUGAGUCAGGUUCCUUUUAUGAGAUUUCUGGGGACUUAGUUUAGAAAACAUGAGGUGCAGCCACCUCCCAGUGAUGAUACAGGUGUCUUAUUUCCAUGGGAAUCUGGGUCAGGACCGCACUAUUUCCUUGAGAGUGC